rnacentral:rRNA from 1 species
AGCGAACGCUGGCGGCAGGCCUAACACAUACAAGUCGAGCGGAUGAGGAAAGCUUGCUUUUCGAUUCAGCGGCGGACGGGUGGGUAAUGCCUAGGAAUCUGCCUGUUAGUGGGGGAUAACUCGGGGAAACUCGGGCUAAUACCGCAUACGUCCUACGGGAGAAAGUGGGGGAUCUUCGGACCGUCCGCUAACAGAUGAGCCUAGGUCGGAUUAGCUAGUAGGUGAGGUAAUGGCUCACCUAGGCGACGAUCGGUAACUGGUCUGAGAGGAUGAUCAGUCACACUGGAACUGAGACACGGUCCAGACUCCUACGGGAGGCAGCAGUGGGGAAUAUUGGACAAUGGGCGAAAGCCUGAUCCAGCCAUGCCGCGUGUGUGAAGAAGGUCUUCGGAUUGUAAAGCACUUUAAGUUGGGAGGAAGGGUAUUCACCUAAUACGUGGGUACUUUGACGUUACCAACAGAAUAAGCACCGGCUAACUCUGUGCCAGCAGCCGCGGUAAAAC